rnacentral:rRNA from 1 species
UACGUAGGGUGCGAGCGUUAAUCGGAAUUACUGGGCGUAAAGCGUGCGCAGGCGGUUCUGAAAGUCAGCUGUGAAAUCCCCGGGCUUAACCUGGGAACUGCAUUUGUGACUGCACAGCUAGAGUGUGUCAGAGGGGGGGUAGAAUUCCACGUGUAGCAGUGAAAUGCGUAGAUAUGUGGAGGAAUACCGAUGGCGAAGGCAGCCCCCCUGGGAUAACACUGACGCUCAUGCACGAAAGCGUGGGGAGCAAACAGG